AUACGGAGGGUGCAAGCGUUACGCGGAAUCACUGGGCGUAAAGCGCGCGCAGGCGGGCUGAUAAGUUGGAUGUGAAAGCCUACGGCUCAACCGUAGAACUGCAUCCAAAACUGUCAGUCUAGAGUCUGAGCGGGGAAGAUGGAAUUAGUUGUGUAGGGGUAAAAUCCGUAGAGAUAACUAGGAAUACCAAAAGCGAAGGCAAUCUUCUGGAACACUACUGACGCUGAGGCGCGAAAGCGUGGGGAGCAAACAGAAUUAGAUACCCUAGUAGUCC
rnacentral:rRNA from 1 species